GACGAACGCUGGCGGCGUGCUUAACACAUGCAAGUCGAACGGAAAGGCCCUGCUUUUGUGGGGUGCUCGAGUGGCGAACGGGUGAGUAACACGUGAGUAACCUGCCCUUGACUUUGGGAUAACUUCAGGAAACUGGGGCUAAUACCGGAUAGGAGCUCCUGCUGCAUGGUGGGGGUUGGAAAGUCUCGGCGGUUGGGGAUGGACUCGCGGCUUAUCAGCUUGUUGGUGGGGUAGUGGCUUACCAAGGCUUUGACGGGUAGCCGACCUGAGAGGGUGACCGGCCACAUUGGGACUAAGGUACGGCCCAGACUCCAACGGGAGGCAGCAGUGGGGAAUAUUGCACAAUGGGCGGAAGCCUGAUGCAGCAACGCUGCGUGCGUGAUGACGGCCUUCGGGUUGUAAACCGCUUUAGCCUGUGACGAAGCGUGAGUGACGGUAAUGGGUAAAGAAGCACCGGCUAACUACGUG
rnacentral:rRNA from 1 species